rnacentral:lncRNA from 1 species
UCGCUUUGCGAGACAUUUCUGUCCCAUCUCUCUCGCACUUACACACGGUACAGAGCUGUGCAGCAUCGGAGACGGAGAGCAGUGGCCAUGGACGACCUUCCAAUUGUGAAGAUACAAAUAUCGGGACCCACACUCUCCUCUCUCAUCCAUCGCGUCUCCUCCGCCUCCGGUGACAUAGACGGCCUCCUCUUUGGCUCAGUAUCCUAUAUUACUCCUUCCAAUCUCUCCGAUGAUUCCUCCUCCGCCGGCGCAACUAUUCCAGACGAAAAUUCCCCAUCUCUCAUCGCCACCGUCACCUCCUUCUUCUCCUCCAGCUCCACGGCCACCUUCUACGACUCCUCUGGCAAAAUCAACCUCUCUUCUCUCCGCCGCCUCCUCCCUCCCUCCACAACCCUCCUCGGAUGGUUUUCCGGACGCCGGAAAACCCCUCUUCGCCCUUCCAUGCGGGAAUCCUCCGUCACCUAUUCUCUCUCCUCAAACACGGAACUAUCAUUCCAAGUCCAAAAUUCCCCAAAUUCCAUGACUCUCUCUCCUUGUCUCUUCCUACUCCUCACGACCCCCUUUCAGAAAGACGACCAAUUAUUAAUCCACACUCACGAUUACCGCCUUUUUCAGUUCCGAUUACCCACAGAUUGUUUCGACCCCAAAACCCUAGAUAUUAUCAACAUUGGUCCUGCUUUCCGAGGCCAUUAUGGUAAUUUCUCCCCCAACUCUCCAUUUCCAGCAUUGCCUUGUGAAUUAAGGGCUUUGAAUUCGAUGG